GCAUAAAAAAUUCACUAGUUUUGUGAUUUUUGCAAAACUGGAGUGCCUUUUUCGAUUUUGUAGAUUCGGACCAAAUUUUUUGCCAUCUGACAAAAAUAUCUUUUGUCUCUCUCCGCCUCAGUCGUAUUCGCUCAGAUGCGUAUACUGUAUUGUACGACGGCUGUCGGCGCAUUAAAUGUGCCCGCGCCUGCAUUACGCAACCUCUUAGUUCAGAAUACAAACCGAAUUGGCCCUGCUAUUUCGCCAGCCCUCAUAUUUGUUAUUCGGCUUUUUAAAAAUAAGCUAAAUUGGAAAUAAUACACGGCCGGCAACGGGCAUAAUGGUGCAACGCGAAGAGAGAUAAUACAACAAUCCUUCUAACAGUGCAACAUGCGACACGUACCAAUGCAACCUCCGCUGCUCAUAAUGCAACGCUGUCAGUCAAUCUUUUUCCUUACCACCCUCUCCCCCGUUAGUUAGUCUUCUUCCUAAACCAUAAAGCGGUCCUUUCACUGGCGUCCCGUGCUGCUUACCCUAUUUGUAAACCCCUCGCCCUCCUCCAUACAAGCCUGCCAGUUUAUUCCAGCACUCUCCGCCACAUUCGACAUUUACAGAAGAGAAGUAGAAGAAGCGUGGAGAAAGGAGCUGGCUUUAGGGUUAGGAAGUGGAGGAGGAGGACAAGUCGUUUAUUUACGAAGAGAUACCACACGGCCAAACAAUUAGUGCAAACUAUUAUCAUAUCUAAAAAAGUGCAAACUGUUAUCUGUAUUUUGUGUUGCCGCGAAUAUAGUAGUUUAAAAGAGGCUGUAAAUGGUAUAACAUUAACCUAUUUAGUGUAAUGUUUUGAUGAAAAUAAUGCCGUGACUCUAUAACCAGUGCAAAUGCACUCUUCUCUUAGUGUUUUUCUCCUCGGCGUAUAUUCUCAUCAACUUCACCAAGUGUUGCUUGGAUAGAACCUAUGUAAAUUUUCUUAGUCCAUCUUAUCUAUUCAAAUACUAUUCUUCUUAUUUCCGAAAACAACCUAAUUUUCGUCCAAACAUAAAAUUAGUCUAAUUCUUGCUUAUAUUUGUAUUUGUACAUAGAGAUGUCAACGGGUCGGAUUCGGGGCGGAUUUGCAAAAACCCAAACCCGAACCCGACUCCAAACCCGAAUCCGAACCCGACGGAUUUUAAAAUUCCAUAUCCAAACCCGAACCUGACCAAAAAUCCGAAAUCCGAACCCGAACCCUAACCCGAAAAUUUGAACUCGAAACCAUUAUUUUUUUUUUCAAUAUUUCAAAAUAUAUUAUAUUAAAUCUAAAUUUUUAAAAUACAAAUUCAAAUAUAACACCAAAUAUAUAUAUAUAUAUAUAUAUAAAGUACAAAAUAAAUUCGGGUUCAGGUCGGGUUCGAGUUUGGGUCGGGUACAAUCAAAAUCCAUAUCCAAAUCUAUAUCCGUCAAGUUUCUAUUUUUGACAUCCAUAUCCGAAUCCAUAUCCAUUUAGUAUCAGAUAUAUCCGUUUCAUUCGGGUUCAGGUUCGGAUAAAAUUUCGGAUAUCCAUACCCAUUGACACCCCUACUUGUACAUAAAAUAAGCAGUUCUUAUUUAUGUCCAAAUCAAACAAAGCCUAUAGCAUCACUUGAGAGCAGGGAGAGUGGGCGUGUUUGGUUCGAAGUCGAAGUCGGAAUCGGAAUCGGAAUCAAAAUAAGCUGGAAUCGGAAUCGGAAUGACUCAUUAUCUAAUUCUGUUUGGUUCAUCACCUGAAUCGGAAUCGGAAUAAAUCAUUCCCAUUAUCAGUGUUUGGUUCAGGUGGAUAUAAAAAACGUAAUCAAAUUAAUAAACUAACAUUAUCUUUAUAAUAUAUUAAUUUAAAUUCAAAUUAAAAAUUAAAUAUUAAAAAUUUACAUCAAAAUUUUGAAAUAAUGUCAAAAUUUUAAAUCUAUUUUUUUAAAAAAAAUAAACUUUGAAGUUGAGUAGAUAAUUCAAAAUAUGAAACUAAAUUUUAAUUUAUUCAAAUUCAAACUUAAAAUUACAAUUUAAAUUUUAAUUUGAAUCCAUAAAUUUAAUUUAAGUUUGAAAUAAAAUUUGAAUAAAACUUUAUAUAAAUUAAAAUUUAAUUUAAAUUCAAAUUCAUAAGUUAGAUUCGAAAUACUUGAUUAAAUUUUAAUUUUUAAUUUAGGUUUAAAUUAAAAUUUAAAAUUAUAUAUUUAAUUUUUAAAUUUUAACUCAUAUUUUAAUUAAAAAAUUAAAAAAAUAAAUUUAAUCCGAAUAAAUAUCCAUUCCGUCCGGAUUCAACUUUCAAUCCGGCCUCCUAGGCCGGAUUGAAAAAGAGGUGAUUGGGGGAUUCCCAUUCCACUCGGGAAUCGGAAUUGGAAUGGGACUCCCGCGUACCAAACACCCACAAACGAAUUUAUCCAUUCCGAUUCCGAUUCCAGGGUGAAAAAAAAGCGAACCAAACACGCCCAGUGUGUGUGUGUCAGAGAUGGGGCCCACAACGUUUGGAUUAAAAUAACUGAGCCCUUAGAAAAAGCCUAGAAUGUACCAGUUUAUAUUACUGAUGUGACGUCCUCAGUCAAUCAGAAUAUUUUCUUUGGAUUUUCCUAUCCCAUCAUGAUUAUUAGAAAAAUAUUUUUGACAUAUUUUUCUCUUAAAAAGUGAAAUAUAAUUGACUGAUUAUUUAUAAUGUGAUGUAAGUGUGACAUACUAGUC
rnacentral:lncRNA from 1 species